CACGUAGGGUCCGAGCGUUGUUCGGAUUUACUGGGCGUAAAGGGCGCGUAGGCGGCGCGGUAAGUCACUUGUGAAAUCUCUGAGCUUAACUCAGAACGGUCAAGUGAUACUGCUGUGCUAGAGUGCGGAAGGGGCAAUCGGAAUUCUCGGUGUAGCGGUGAAAUGCGUAGAUAUCGAGAGGAACACCUGAGGUGAAGACGGGUUGCUGGGCCGACACUGACGCUGAUGCGCGAAAGCCAGGGGAGCAAACGGG
rnacentral:rRNA from 1 species